GCUCCUAUAGCCCAAUGGCAGAGGCAGGUGCCUUAAAAGCACUAAAGUGUCGGUUCAAAUCCGACUAGGAGCA
rnacentral:tRNA from 1 species